rnacentral:rRNA from 1 species
GAUGAACGCUAGCGGCAGGCUUAACACAUGCAAGUCGAGGGGCAGCAUACCCAGCAAUGGGUGAUGGCGACCGGCGGAAGGGUGCGUAACGCGUGAGCAACAUACCCUAUACAGGGGGAUAAGCCAGGGAAACUUGGUCUAAUAUCCCAUAGGAAAUAGAUAAGGCAUCUUGUUUAUUUUAAAGCUUCGGUGGUAUAGGAUUGGCUCGCGUGACAUUAGCUAGAUGGAGGGGUAACGGCCCACCAUGGCAAUGAUGUCUAGGGGUUCUGAGAGGAAGAUCCCCCACACUGGGACUGAGACACGGCCCAGACUCCUACGGGAGGCAGCAGUGAGGAAUAUUGGACAAUGGAUGGAAAUCUGAUCCAGCCAUGCCGCGUGCAGGAAGACGGCCCUAUGGGUUGUAAAACUGCUUUUAUACGGGAGCAAUAAGGUCUAUGCAUAGAUUGAUGAGAGUACCGUAUGAAUAAGCAUCGGCUAAC